AAAGAUCUUAGUGUUGUAAGUGUCGGGUAUGCCGAGCGAUUUAAGAGGAAAAUAGGUGCAAAUCCUAUGCUGGAAACAGCUGUAAAUGAGGAGUUUAUUUCAACAAGGAGUCACUGGGAAACUGGGAAGGCUGGAAAUAAACGAUGAAUCAUGAGCCAGAAAGCCUGCUUAUAACAAAUUGACUGU
rnacentral:ncRNA from 2 species